AAAGUUUUCGAGCUUGCAGCAAACUAGCUUGAGGAAGACGCGUGCACGAGCAGCGGCAGUCUUGCGCGCCUGUGACGCGCGUUCACCGGCUGUGGAGGGUGCAAACUUUCAUCAGAGGACCGUGUGUUCAUUCCCAGAUCUCCAUGACAACGAAGAAGAAAACUCCAUCCACUGUUGAACGCCAUCGGAUGUGAUUGGAAACGCCAUGGAAUUUCCCUAGGGGCUCCUGUAUUGGACGGGACAGAGGUUAUUCUGUUUUCCACCAGAUGUCUUAUCUUCUCAUCAGUCAGCUUUUCCAGCAGUGACACAACAAACCGCCUGAGUAAAGUUUUUAUGAGCCAGCAGGUUAACGUUAGAACAUGACAGAAAUGAGCAGUGAGUCGCACUUGGGUUUUUCUCUUAGUCAGCAGACUGCCUGUUUCUGACAGACAUGCGCGUGUGUGUGCUCUCCUAACUUUUCAGCACUGUUUCCUGUACAAGAUUAUAGAUUCAGCUUUUGUACUUAGUCAGAAAAUCUAAGAUGAAAUAGGUUGUUCAAAGGAAGUUUG